rnacentral:rRNA from 1 species
CCCCUAGAUGUUCUGGGCCGCACGCGCGCUACACUGAACAGUUCAACAAGUCUUAACCUUGGCCGAUAGGUCUGGGUAAUCUUUGAACGCUGUUCGUGAUUGGGAUAGACCUUUGCAAUUAUGGGUCUUCAACGAGGAAUUCCUAGUAAACGCAAGUCAUCAGCUUGCAUUGAUUACGUCCCUGCCCUUUGUACACACCGCCCGUCGCUCCUACCGAUUGAAUGGUCCGGUGAAGCGUUCGGACCGUGGCCUUUGGACGGUUCGCCGUCUGUUGGCUGCGGGAAGUUCGUUAAACCUUAUCAUUUAGAGGAAGGUGAAGUCGUAACA